CGUAUGGUGUGCAACUUCGGGUUGUAUAGCGAUACGGCCCAGAAAUGAGGU
rfam:Aliiglaciecola lipolytica E3 DNA, contig: CTG076.